rnacentral:lncRNA from 12 species
UAAUCAAGCAGAAAAGAUUUUGACAAAUGAACUGUGGUGUCUAUAUUGUUAUUGUUACUGUUUUUGGUGUGAAUGGGCCUUAACUUUUAUUAUUUAUGAUGCAAGGACUCAUACAUUUAAAAAUAUCCUACACAAACUAUGACACAUCAUAUCAACACAUUUUCAUAAGAUGUAGGCUAUAGAUUAAUGUCAUACAGAGGAGACUGACAUGGAAGUUUUAUGAAAAUCAGAGCAAAGGGGGAUUGCUUUUAUUUGGAUACACACAAUCAACAUGUUAUGUAAUUCAAAAUAUGAGUUACCAACGAAAAGGUUUAGAUCAGCUAUGGAGACCUACAGAAAGGCAGUUUGCCAACCCUGUGAAUGAAGAGAAGAGGCUGCACAAAACCAGGCAGAAAGAAACAUGUAAGACUCAGUGAUUCUAGCACACGGCUGGCAGGUAUUGAUAGAAUAUAUUGUAACGCUGUGAUUGAACUGGGGACAUAAGUGAUUACUAAAGUCACAGUAGUUAUUAGAAUGAUUAGAAACGCUUUUCUCUUUAUGUGAUUUUCUUCAUCUCUCUGUCUUCCUCUCUCUCCAGGUCCGGGCUUCUUCAGAGCUCUGAGAACAGCCAAACAGCAGAACAGGUUUAUGGUGAGGAAAACUGUGUAGUGUACCAGAAAUGUAAGGCUGUCUUCAGUGCAUCAGUGAUAAGUGCAGUUCUCACACAAAAUCUACAGCGCUGGAUAUGUUGCAUGUCAGGUUUAUUAUUCUAUGCAAAUUGGAAUAUGCAUUUGGUGAUUUAUGAGUGUUAACAUAGAAAAGUUAACUACUUCAUUAGUCAUUAGUUAACCACUGAUUCCUAGAUUCUCACAUAUUCGUAUUUAAAAAUACUUGAGGAAGGUAAUGAUUUCUUAUUUACCCGAUAAUAGCAGGAUACUAUAGGUCUUUAUAUACUUAAUAAAUAGACAAAUAAUUGAGAAUAAAUAAAAUAGUUAUAUUAUUUUGUAUGACAUUUGUGUUAGUAUCUG